rnacentral:lncRNA from 1 species
AGCAAAGAGCAUAUAGCCCUCAUGUUUCUUAUGCUUAUUUUGCUUCUGUUACUGAUCUCCUCAGCCUUGACAAUACCAACUACAAAGUAUUAUUUGGACCUGAAAUACAACAAGAGGUACAAGUUAGCAAACAAAGAAUGCAACAUCAGCUAUACAUGCAAAACUCAGAAACUGAAGGACGAACUGAUGAGAUUAUGGACCAUGGCCUAUACCUCUAGCCCCCACUUUGUUGCGGGGCGCUUAGCAACAUGCACUGCCUCUGGAGGUUUCUGCCUUCUGAGCACAGUAAUUUAUGCUCAAGCCAUGCUUAGGUCUUACUUUCUCCAUUCGAGCUUCAGCUUUUGUAGUGGAGAAUCUGAAUACAAGUGGUCCACAACCUUAAUUCUUGUAACUCACACAGUGGCAAUAGGAGUAGGAACUAUUGCACCAGCUUUUAGAUGGUUCAUAGCCAUAAAUUUCCAAUGCCCCAAAAAAACAAAUAAUGCCUGCAAACUCACGUUGUUCAAAGUGGAGAACUACUGGAUCCAUAUACUGCUUAAGUGGAAAGAAUGCCCGUUGGAUUUCAGAAUUUGUGGCCGGCAUGGUAGAAAAUUCGCUCAUAAGACAAAGAACAAACUUCUCGAUUUCUGCAUUUGGAUGCAAAUUCUGAUGGUGUCACUCAGUAAGGUAGUUCGGGUCAUUUCCACUUUCUCUGUGAGUUGGUUACUGAUAAGCUGUCAGAAAGCAACCAGGAUGCUGAAAUGCAAAAAUGUGGUGUCUAGUCAUGAUAUAGAGUCACAAGCUAGUCUAAAGCCAGAUCUUAGCCACUAUGUUUUACACCUCGAAGGAGAGGAAGCAUUAAUUGAUUUGAUGAUGCAAAGCAACUGUGAUGUGGUAGACAAAUGGAUAGGGAUGGGGAAAAAGGAGCAACCUAAACAUCUAAUACGAUUUUUAGAGAAAGUGAAGUCAUCACCUGGAUUCAGGGGAGUGCACGAAUUUGACCAUGCUAAAAUUCCUUCUUUAGACACGGAAGAACCUCCUAAUUGCUGGGCUCUUCCUAUAGUGACACUGACAAGCAUUGCAAUUGCACUUCCAGACAUUGAUUUCCACUUAAUCAAGGAAUUAAUAAGGAGUGUGUAUGAAGGUCUCAUGUACGUCAAACUUGUUGAAGAGAACCUGGAUAGCAGAAAAGACCUAGUAUACAUCAGGAAGGCAGCAGAGUUAGUGUGGGUAGAAGUUGACUUAUGUUACAAGUGGCUGGACAUCGAUCUCCGCAAAGCUGCCACUGAAGGACAAAAUCCAAAAGGUGUGCUUGAAGGACUCUCUGAGAAAGCAAAGCAGAGAUUCGUCGAAUUCAGAAAGAAAGAUCCAAAUGCUUGUUUAAAGGAUUCACCUUCAAAAUGGCCUAACAAUAUGUUGGCAGCAAACUGUAUGUACAGAGUAUGUCAAACUCUUCUGCAAAGUUCUGAUAGCAAAGCGUUUGAGAACAGCAAAACCAUGUUUGACAGAUUGUCAACAAUGAUUGCGGAUAUAACAAGUGCAUGUCUUACCAACCUUGAUAGAGUUAUAUCCAUGCAAUGCCACCAUGGCACCAUUGAAGAGAGAGCAGCAGGUGUCCGCUCUGCCAUCUUGCUUCUGGGGAAAGCAGAGAGUUUUCUGCAUAUUCUUCGUUCACAGACACUCCCAAGUUCAGCACCAGAUCAAUUGGGAAAAAUUGAUCAUUGGCGCUCACAUAGCAAAGAGGUAGAUUACCCCUCCUGCAGUAGUAGCUCACCCUCAAAUUUUUCUCCAACUUCCCAAAGUUCAUCUGACUUGUAUCUAACUGUGGACUAAGAAGCAAAUGCCUGAAAGUGGAAAAAGAAUAAAGAUGCUGCUUAAGUUCUAUUGCAAUAGUACCAUAUUUGUUUAUUUUUAUGCUUUGUAUGAUACAACUGAAAUUUAUUUGUUUCACAUCAAGACUCUAGCUUGUUUUAUAAAUAAUAACACCUUGAAGGAGAGGAAGCUUUAAUUGAUUUGAUGAUGCAAAGCAACAGUGAUCUGGUAGAUCAUUGGAUUGGGAUAGGGGAAAAGAAGCAGCUUAAACAUCUUCUACGACUUCUGGAGAAACUGAAAUCAUCACCUGGAUUCAGAGGAGUGCAUGAAUUUGAUAGUGCUCACAUUCCUUCGCUUAACUAGGAAGAUCCUCCUAAUUGCUGGGCUCUCCCAGUAAUGACACUAACAAGCGUAUCAAUUGCACUUCCAAACAUCAACUUUCAUUCAAUCAAGGAACUCAUCGGGUGUGUGAAUGAAGGUCUCAUGUACAUCAAAGUAGCGGAAGAUAACCUGGAUGCAAGAAAAGACCUCGCAAAUAUCAGGCGGGCGGGCAGCAGAAUUAGUGUGGUUAGAUGUUGAUCUAUGUUACAAGUGGCUGGAUGUGGAUCUCCAGAAGACAGCCACUGAAGGACAAAAUUCCAAAGACAUGCUUGAAGGUCUCUCUGAGAAAGCAAAGCAGAGAUUCAUCGAAUUCAGAAAGAAAGAUUUGACUGUUUGUCCAAAGGAAUCACAAAAUGGCCUACCAAUAUGUUGGCAGCCAACUGUAUGUACGGAAUGUACGGAAUCUGUCAAACUCUUUUGGUAAGUUCUGAUAUCAUAGAGUUUGAGAACAGCAAAAUCAUGUUUGAUAAACUGUCAAUCAUGAUCACUGAUCACGGGCAUAACAGGCGCUUGUCUUACAAACCUACAAAGAGCUAUGCAAUGCCACCAUGGCACCAUUAAGGAGAGAUCAAAAGGUGUCCGUUCUGCCAUCUUACUUCUCGGAAAAACAGAGAAUAUUCUGGAAAUUCUUCGUUCACAGCCACUUCCAAGUUCAGCACCAGAUCAAUUGGCGAAAAUUGAUCAUUGGUGUACAAUUAGCAAAGGAGACUACCUCUCCUGCGGUAGUAGUUUAACCUCAAAUUGUACUCCAACUUCCCAAAGUUCAUUUGACUUGUAUCUAGCAGUGGACUGAGAAGUAAAUGUCUGACAUCUUGUUUGGAUGGUUGUUACAUAUUGUUUCAUAAUGAAUUGCAUUAUAUUGUAGUGUGUUGUAUUGUUUUGAUGAAUACAGCGUUUAGAUAGAUUGUAUCAUUUCUUGUCACUACAUAAUGUCAUACAUCAGCAAUUUGAGGAUUAACCUACAAGAACGGUAGGGUGAAGGAUAAAAUAGGAUUAUCACAUAAUAAGCAAAGACAAAUGAGAAAAAGAAAAAAAAAAGAGAAGGUAACGACGCAAUCACACCAAAUCGGUCCUGACAUAAAAUGAGUCUUUUUGUCAUUACAUAACGUUCAAGUAACAAUCAAAACAAACAUUGUAAAAACUAACACAACACAAUACAAUAGAUCACAAUCGUCCAAACAAAAUCUUUGAUUAAAAAGGUAUGCUAAGUUCUGUUGCAGUAGUAUCAUAUUUGAAAAAGUGGUUUACAUGAAAUAACAUGAUGCAAGAAAACUAACCUGCAAUACUGUCUUUUUGGCUGCUAAAUUGGUCUUAGAGAUUGCCAAGUUUUCCUCUACUUGGUCUAAUAUUUGCUUGUGCUCUUUGAAUUCUGCAUUAGCCUUAUUGUCCUACCCUACUUGUAUAGCUCAUAUAAGAAAACAAACCAUUUCGAUAUAGUAAGAUAUUUGUAUGUUGAGAAGUUAAGACUAGAGUAGUUAGAAAGUUUGUAUGUUUUUUGUAGUUUAGUUAGUCCCUAAUUUAUUCAAUAUAGUUUUCAGUUGAAUCACUCUGAAUGUUGUUGGGAAACUUAGCUUUGAUCUAUGAAAAUCCUUAUAAAUAAUUAUUCUUUUUGGAACCUCAGGAAAUCCGUAGUCGCUAUCCUUCCAGUGACAGCAUGUGAACCAAUAGUAAACCGCGCAAGGCUAACCCGUUGCGACAAGCUUAAUUGAGAAGGCCUUGGUAGGAGAUAUUGAUCUCUGGCUACCCUUGCGGGAUACACCUGGUGCACCAAUUCAGCCACCCUUACGGGUCCUUAUAAAUAGUUACAAUAGGCAUUAUGUUGAAUGAAAAAUCAAAAUUAUCUUCACUCUUGCAUUUUCUAUUCUUCAUUUUCUUAAUUAUGUAUGCUUUACGUUUGUGAAUAUUUACUAGCUUACUCGCUACAAAUGAUAUAGAGACGACGAACUUACACCUCACUUUAAGUUGCAAUGCUCAAUAUAUUCACUGAUAGACCAAUGUGAACUUCAUUUAGAUAUUGGAACUACACACUUAAUCGUAUGUGUCAUCUACAAACAUAUAGCCAGAGAAAUAAUAGCUGAAUGAGUAUCUUAAAAUUCAGUAAAUAGAAAAACUAAUUCAACAUGACAGAACCCUAAGAAAAGUAAUCCAUGGUUGGCUGUUUGAUCUAGAUUUAUUCACAAGUCCAAUAUCCAAUGUUGUUGGAGUCAAAGACCAGAAAAGUCUACUGAAGAAGAUGCAGACUGAAAAGUCAAACUAUUUCCUUGGAUAGUUGUUAUUGCAGGGGUGGAUGGAGGGGUUUCCCCUUUUUAAUUUUUAAAUUUUAAUUAUUUAUUACUAAAUAAGGAACUGAAUUAUGUGAAGGGGAUAACAAAAAUUGAAACUACACUUACCGUGGAAAAGACUAGUAGUACUACAAGCUAAUAAAUAAGUAGUAAACCUUAGUUCUUUUCAUGUACUUAUUUUUUAAGAGUUAGUACUAUAAUCCACUGGGUAAUCAGAGAAGGGAACAUUGAAAAUUCAACACAGUGUUACUAAACUGUAAUAAUGGGGUGAAUUGAUUUGGCUUAGUGAGUGUAAUACACUCAUUGACCGUGCGUGUAAAAACCUUUUUAGUUGACUUUUUAAAAAAAUUCUCUUCUUCUUUCCCAUUUUCAGCCACCAUUUCUGAAACUUAAACAUCCAACUAUGGUGAAUCAAAACAGUUACCAUAAACAAUUGAAAAAUGAUAGAAAUUGUUUUAGAAAUUUAGAAAUGUAACCAUUUUAAGAUUUACUUAGUAAAUUAGUUUAUGAGAAUCUUUCCCAAAAGGAUUGAAUAUUUACAUAGAGGAACCACUCCAGCAACCAAAGCCAAUAAUACUCACCAGACUUCAAAUAAAUAAUCAUGUCAGCGUCCAUCUUGCUGACAUUCUAAUAUCAUUCACAAAGUGAAAUCAUCCAUGACCAAAUCAAGUUAAGUGGCCAAAUUUCAGUGGAGAUGCUACCAGAAAAAGUAAAUCUUGGAAAUACCUUGAAAGAGAGUCAAAGAAACAAAUAGAUAUGGCUGCAGCUAAAUACCCAGAGUAGAAACACCCCCCUCAAGAAAUCCUCAAAUACUCCACAUACACAAAGAUUUCACCUUUUAAACGAGAUGGGAAAGAUUGGUUGCACCAUAGAUGGCAACCUGGAUGACUCAAAAUUCAGCGAGCCGAUGCCAUGGAUCGGUAUCUAUGUUGCAGCAGCAUCUGCAGCUUGUGCACUGGCCAUGGCGAUUGAUGUCCUUCAUGGCCUGCGCCGUAGAAAAUUAUGGUUUCCUUGCAACUUCUUCUCUCUUAGUGCUACAACAUUAACGCUCCUAGCUGUUGCCACCAAGUUGUCUGUUGAUCUAAAUACAUCCAUGCCUCGCCGACAAGAUCAGCUGACAAAACUUAGCAGUGCUGCUCUACUCUGUACGGCAACUGCUAAUUUUUUGCCUUCUUUAGGUCAAAUGGAGAAUAAAGAGCUGUUGAUGAACAUAGUGGCUUUGGGGAUUUUCGUCAUCACGGCCAUCGUGAACAUUGGCAUACAAUUAGCUACUGGUGUUAUCUAUGUUUUCUGCAAAGAGCAUAUAGCCCUCGUGCUUAUUUUGCUUCUGUUACUGAUCUCCUCAGCCUUGACAAUACCAACUACAAAGUGUUAUUUGGACCUGAAAUAUAACAACAGGUACAAGUUAGCAAACAAAGAAUGCAACAUCAGCUAUACAUGCAAAACUCAGAAACUGAAGGAUGAACUAAUGAUAUUAUGGACCAUGGCCUAUACCUCUAGCCCCCACUUUGUCGCGGGGCGCUUAGCAACAUGCACUGCCUCUGGAGGUUUCUGCCUUCUGAGCACAGUGAUUUAUGCUCAAGCCAUGCUUAAGUCUUACUUUCUUCAUUCGAGCUUAAGCUUUUGUAGUGGAGACUCUGAAUACAAGUGGUCCAUAACCUUAAUUCUUGUAACUCACAC